GGCCGCGUGGCCUAAUGGCAUGGCGUCUGACUACGAGAUAUUUCAGUAAUGAGUGUUUCAUAGCAAUCAGGAGAUUCUGGGUUCGACCCCCAGCGUGGUCA